rnacentral:lncRNA from 1 species
ACACUCAUGUUCGGCAGCAAGCACGGACAGUCCUGCCCGGAGGCAGGGGGAUGGCCCACAUGGCCCUGGUCUUCCAGAGAAGCCCAGCGUCUGGCCUCUUCCCCUCAGCGCUGGUCACAUUCUCCCCACCUUCCCCUCCAAGCAGCCCACCUGGGGUAGGUGCUGAGUCCCCUGCUGCUGCCUCCCCCGGGUGAAAGCAGAGUAAACAGUCCCCCUCUCCCCCGCCUCCCUGGGGAGGGCUGGAGGAAAGAAAGGGAAGUGACAAAAGCUGCCCUAUCCCUGUCCUUCCUCACUGCUGGGUCUAGGACACUUAUUCUGGGGAAAGUGGCGUCUGAGGAUGUGGCUGCAGUGGCCAGUUGCUGGCGCCAGCAGAAAUCCCCAAGCCCGUCAGUAGACUCUGUUCAGACGCGUUCGCUGACCAUGGCACUGAGUAAGUGCUGAGGAGACACCUGAGGACCCAGGUCACGCCCCUGCCUGCCCUCUCCUCCCAGACAGGCCCCUCCUAGGGCUCAGACCAUUCCAGUUCCUCUUGUCAGACCCUGAGAAGGCCCAGGGCAUCCACCCCUACAGGGAAGGCUCAACAGGAAAGAAAGAAACACACAGGAACUGGGCUCAGAGCCCAGCUGCGUGCUCUUGGGCAAGUUACUUAACCUCUUUAGGCCUCAAUUUCUCAACUAUAAAAUGGGACUAAGACUAGCUGCCUGUUGAGCUGUUGUGAGAUAAGUGAGUGCACUGGCCUGGAUCUGCAGACGGUGGACAACAGCCAACGGCAGCCGGAUGUGGCAUUGUGCUGCUGCCUUUAGCAGCUCCAGGCAGUAACUACUGAGUAUCAGGGAAGAACUGAGACCUCAGAGAAGGGAGAGAACCAGGAUUGCUUGAGGCAGGGCGUUGGGAAGGCCCCACUUACCCUCUGGCAGUUGCAAUCUAAAAGGAACAAAGAGGCUUUGUGGCAGAUCCUGUCUCCUAAUAUCCAUUCCUCGUUUAUUUCCCAACUUUUAGCCAGACCCCCAUGGAAUAAAGACUAGACUACCUAGCUUCCCUUGCAGCUAGGUAUGGCUAGAUGACUGAGUUCUGGCCAAUGGAAUAUAAGUGUGACUUCUAGGAAGCUUCCUUGAAGGGAAGGGGCAUGUCCUUCUUCAGGCUUUCUUCUUCCUUCCUGCUGGCUGGGGCUCCAGCAGCCAUCUUGGGCAAUGAGGUGACCCUGGAAAUGGAAACCACACCUAGCAGGUCAGAAAGAUAGAAGGAGUCUCUGACCACAUCCCAGAAAUAUUUUACAUGAGCAAAAAAUUCACUAUUUAUCUUGUGUAAACCAAAAUUUAACUGAUACAAGCUUCUCCUCUGGUGAAAUAAUCUCGACUCAUGUGUGGCUGGGCAGAGUAGGAUGGAUGAGGUGUCUAGAAGAGAAGAGUUACCAGGGGUGUGAUGUCCCCAUCCAGGAGCACUUCCUCCUACUUGCCCUGUGAGGUCAGGAGGAACCCUGUUGGGAGGACUUGGCUCCAGGAGGAUGGAUGGAUGGAUGGAUGGAUGGAUGGAUGGAUGGAUGGAUGGAUAGAUAGAUGGAUGGAAAGGAGGGAAGAGCCCAGGUAAAUGCAUGAGAUGAGGAGAAAUACCUAGAAGGAGGAAAUACCCUGGGAAAACACUUCAGAUGACAGAGAGCCAGGCUAGGGGUGUGGGGAUAGCAGAACAGGAUGGCCUACCUGACUCACUGCCCAAGUCGGACUCUCAGUUUUCCCACCUGUGCUUUGGGAAUGGGCCUUAUCGCCUCACUCAGGGCCAGCGUGAAGUGAUUCAAAAACCAAACCAAAACUAAACAGAGAAUCAGUGUAGCAUUAAAUCCGUUGUCAGCCCAGACAAAACCCUUCUCUGUGCCUGGGAUUCCUAUAAAGUAAGGAUACCCGUGGACCCCACCUCACCUGGCUGUUGUGAGUAUUCAGCGAAAGGGCUACUGUAAUGUGCUCAUCACAGUGUCUGGCACAAGGCAAGUGCUCAGUAAGCAGUCAGUGCUAUUAUUGCUGCUGUUGAAAUCCUGCCCUGGGGUGUGAGGAACAAGAAGCUGCCACUUGAUUGGUCUGUGGCAUGAGUUAGGGAAAGAAACCUGGACUCCUCACUCCAGAAUAAUAUCUCCAGCGCUUUGGGGACCUAAAGGACCAGGUAAUGCCUUGGGAGCACCACACCAUAAACACACAUCAGGAUCCUGACGGCAUAAGAUGGAAUGGGGGUAGUAGGGAGACCUGGCAGGGUGGGGGCAGCCAAGGCUUAAAUUUUGGUACCACUGCCUGGGACCCCUGGAGGGACAGCUGUCAGGUCAGGCCCUGACCCCCAAGCUCUCCUCCUUGGCCAGGCCAGGUCCACAUUUGGUCACAAGAAGCUGGCAAGAGGCCAGACAGGGCCGCAGAUGCCAUGGAGAGGGCAAACACAGGCCCGACGGAAAGGGGGAAAAAAUCGGGCUUGUUCUGCCUGGGCAAGAGCAGGCUCAGGGGUGACAUCAACGCCAUGAUAAGCAGUUAGAUGAGUUAAUGCCCAGGGAUGCUUUUCCUGAAGUUCCCCAGAGAAAGUUGGGGGUUAAAUGAUGAGUGUGUUGGCAGAUUUGUACCCUCAAAAAAUUACGAGUGUGACCACUGUUAACAAUGAGCAGGGACUUUAAGAGGAGAACUAAGGAGCUGUCAUUUCUCUCUGGAGAAGUGAAGGAGAAGAAAUGAUCUUACAUUAAAGUAAACACGAUUCCGGAUGACCUAAGGGAGAAUUCUGACUGCCCAUGACAUGAGCUCUCUGUGUGCAAGGAGCUGUGGACUGAGUCCAGAACUGAAUAGGGCACACAGCUUCAGUGGCCUGUCCUGAAACCCCAGCACAGCCUCCAAGUUCUGGGCUUCUGUUCCCACCUGUGUUAAAUCAGACAAGGUAACGAUUAUGGAUAGGGAUUUAGGAAUCAUACAGAGAUCAGUUUGAAGGCACUUUGGACAAGUUACCUAACUUCUCUGUCCUUUGUUUCUUCCUCUGUUUGGAAGAAAAAAAAAAAACAGAACUGGGUGCAGAGGGUUGCUGGGAAGAUUAAUUCAGUGGAUGCCAGCUUAGAGCCUGGCACCCAGGACGAGCUCCAUAAAUAUUCUCCAGUGGGGCUAUUUUUCUCCUGUCUGGGCAGGGAUUGGACAGUAUCUCUUGAGUUCUUUUCAAGUCUAGAAUGCCUUGAUUCCACAAUCCUGUGACUCACUGAUUCUGCUUCUGGGGUCUGAGGACUGGGAUGAGUUGGUUGCACAGCUCUGCCCUGCAGGGCCCAGGCCCAGCACCUGGACAUAGCCCAGCCUAUAGUCUGCACCAUUUUAUUUCUACCAGUGGACUUUGCCUUGCCCAUCAUGUGCCCUCAGCCUCAUGGGCAGCCUUGUGGCCACAGGUGGCCCUGCCAGCUGUCCCUGACCUCUGCUCUGCACCUUCACCUGGAGCAGGGCAGUGCAAGCCCCUCCGGCUAACUCCUUCCUCACACCUACAUUCCCCUGACAAUGUCACAUGCUGUGCAAGUUGGCAGGGCCAGAGGGGCCACAGAUGCCAACAAAAACACCAUUCCUGUGGAGGGAGAAGAGCCCAUGGGUGUUAUUUUUAACCUGCUGAUUAGAGGCCACAGCUCUGCCCCUGGGGGUCCUGGGACUAAGGGCUCUGAGGGGCAUGUGAGUUGUCAGGCCUCACCUCAAUGACUCCCAAGGGUAUUGGGCUGCAGAAACCCCAGCCCUUCUACCACUUUGAUGGAGAAGUGGGAAAGGGAGACACAGAUCAAGACAUGCCCCAUCUUGCCCACUGGUUUCAACUGGGGCUGAACCCAGCCAGGAAGAGCAAAUGUGCCACGAAUCACAGAACAUUAAACCUAGAGAUGGGUCCUCUCCAGUCCCUGCGUUAUACAGAUAAGGAAACUGAGACCUGAGGGAGGAGGCCCAAAGUCACACUGCUGGUCAACACUAGCUUCCUACCCCCUUGCCCACCUGUUGUAGACCUGGAGUUUGACAAGGACAUUUCUAUAACUCUCCAAGGCCACAUCCUGGGGGUCACCUUGCUCCACCCUCUGUCCAGGUGACCCAUCUUGCCUCUGCCCUCUCCCCAGUCUGCCCUACCCCAAUGGGCUGAGCUUCUGACAACCCCAUGAUGAGGGCUCCAGGCCCUGGCUCACCCUGCAAGGACUUCCUAAGUGCCCAAGCAGUGCCCCCUAGAGGCCAGUGGCAGCACUGAUCAGCACAGCGGGCAGCGCCAUCAUGGCUGGAGGCCCAGGCGAAGACGUGCAGGCCAGGGCGUGCCUGUGUGGGGGGAACAGGACCGAGCUUCUGCCAAGGGCCCGCUGCCGGCUGUUGCUGAGCUUGUGCUCGCCAGAGGGGUGGGGGCGGCAGGCAGACAAUGGACCCCACGGCCCAGCCUCCUGGCCUUGGCCCCUUGAGCUGGGCAGGCAGCCGCUGGCCAAAGCAGCCGCCUCCAUUGGUCCCUCACGUAGCCCACGUCCUGCCUGCUGGGUGGCCCUUAUCACCGGGUACGUGCCAGAGUUCCACAUGCCCACACUCCACAGUGGGGAGGGGACUGUGGGCCCAGGAGGAAUGGGACCAGUGGGAAGUUAGGCUUCCUGUUUCCCUGCAUCCCAUUCCCAAGGAGGGGCUUGAGCAGGUCCUGAGUACCCCUUGAUGAGUCUCUCGUUCUCAGAGAGAUCUUAGCCGCAUCUCGCCAAGUCCCAACUCUCAACAACUGUUCUCCCCUUGGAAUGAAGGGGUUGGGUGGAAGAGAAGAAAGAAAGAGGCCAACAGCUUCAUUUGAAUGUUCUAGGUCACCAGUUCACAAAUACCAACUGUUCCUCUUAACAAGCUUAUACAAGAAGUAGUACUAUACUAUGCUUAUUACUGUCUGGGGAAACAGGCACAGAGAGGUUGAGUGACUUACCCACAACCAUACAGCUGGUAGGGACAGAGUCAGGAUUCAAAUCCGAGCAGACCGACUCCACAGCUAAACCACUCCUCAACAAAGCAGGGUCGUGACUGGCUGGUGCUCAGCCCUCUACCCCACAGAAAUGAUGGCUUUGGGGUCAGACAGACAUGGGCUCAGGCCUGGAAAUGCAUGCUCUAGGGCCAGUGAAGGCCCUCUCUGGGCCAAUGUUUCCUUACCUGUGAAAUGGGUGCAGUGAUGCAGUGAGGAAGGUACAGCCACAUGUGCCUCACUGGUGGAAGCUGCUGCACAAAUCCUCCUCCCCUUCACCCAGCAGAGCUCAAAGCCUCCUUUGACUGAAUAAUUAGAAUGUCUUCUGCCUCGCCGCCUGAAGCCCACCAUCCCAGCCUCCACUUCCUCUGUCCAAACCUACAGAGCGGCUCCAUUCCCUGGCACUUGAGGUCUGCUGCAAGCCCCUAGCAUGCCCGGCCAGGUAGCCCCGGCACGCUUGCUCAGCCCACGCACUGUUUAACCUUCCACAGGCACUGGGUUCUCCCUGUCUUCCCCCCGAGGAAGACCGUGAGUGCCCGCUGUGGGGCCAGGGGAGGAUGGGGCCGGAUGAGCCCCUGCCUCCCUGGUAUGUGCACACAUGUACAGUCAGGCCUUAUUCAAGGAGCUUGGACCCUGGGCCCAGUCUCAGUUGGCUACCAGAGCUGUGUGGCUCUGUACAGGUCCUUUCACGUCACGGGGGCUGUUUCCUCAUAUGUCAAAUGGACAUCUACAUCCCGGCUGGUAAAGACACAGUGAAGCCACAUCUGGGACACACCCCUCCCAGAAAACUUCCUCGUGAUUUCUGCUAGCAGAUUAGGACUACAGCGUGUGUGGGCAGGGAAGGGAUCUGGCUGGGAGGACAGGCGAAAUGGACAUAGACGUCAGAGAAGGCAGGAAGCAGAGGGGUUUCCCCACCAUGAUGAGGCUGCACAGGCAGGGGAAGAAAGGCCAUGGGGGCUGAGUCACUGGCUGUGUCUAAUCUGCUGCCUUCCCAGCCACUGACAAUGAAGUGACCACAGGCGGAUCACAGGAGAUCACAGGAGGGAGGUGGCCAAACAGGACAAGAAAGGGAGCUGCAGGGACUCUAGAGGAAGUAGCCUGAGAGGCAAGGCUCAGCCCCUGCCCUCAGAGGGACCCUGAGCUGAUGGGGUAGCAGACACAGCUGCUGCCUUCAGUGAGCUCCCAGUCUGACAGGGGAGACAUUCUUUUGUCUCAGGAGAGAAAGGAGCUCUGCCUUCAGGGAACUCCCAAUCUGACAGGGAAGUUUUAUCACUUUCUGCCUUAAGGGAAUUACAACUGUGACUGGGGACUCAGCCUCUGUUCGCAGGGAACCCCAGCUUGAGGUGUCUAUGUCUGAGGGAGCAGGUGCCUGAGUGAGCGCUGUGCAUUUGUGUGUUGACACCCUUCCUGGCUUCCUUCAGACCCUCCAAUCUGAUGGGAGAGACACAGCUCUGCUCUUAAGGAGCUCCUGUAAGAUGGGGGAGACAUAGUCCCCACAUCAGGCGGCCACUAAAAUGAAGGGGGAGACUUAGCUCCUGCCCUCUGUCCUCAGGGAGCCCUGUCUGCCCCCACGGGCACUCAGGUUAAGCAUGCAUGUGUGUGCACAUGGGAAUGCAUGCAGGCCCUGCUCUAGCCCUCUCAGGCACCACUCCCCACCAUGCCCACCUGAGAACUCCUCAAAGUAAGGAAGGAGAAUCCUUGUUCGAGCCCAGGCUAAGGGGGCUUCCACAGAGGGGCUUCUGGGAGCCUAGAAGACAGAGGGUGGGGGAGACAGAAGUGCUACCACAUCUAGGGUGGCUGGGCUCACUGUCCUGAACAGCUGAGCUGCAUCUGCCUUCCUCAUCUCCAACUCCUGAUCCCUGAUACACCCCAGCCUCACAUGUCCGCUGAGACGCGGUACAUGGUAUCUCCCACACGUAUGCGCGGCUCCAGCACAUGGGAGAGGGUGGCUGGGGCUUGGAGCUCAAAGGAGCCUCUUCUUUUCCUCCCCGUGGCCCUCAUGUUGCCUUUCACACACCCACUCUGGGUGAUGGGAGGGGAGUGACCAGUCCACCCCGAGUCACUAUGACUCGGUCUCCCCACCUGGAACCCUCAUACUCGGUUCACAGUCUCCAUGAAGGGACAGUGAGCAGACUGGGAGUCAGCGGGGAGGAGGCCCACAACAAGUCGGGAGCUCCAGUUCACCCACUCAAUUCCUUCCUAGGGCAGGAAACCUUCAGGAGAGCAGAGGAUGGGGCUGGGUGGGAAAAUAACAUGCAAGGGAGGAAGCAGGGAGCACAGGGCAUUUCCCCUCAAGUGGGAGUUCCCCGAGGGCAGGGCUGUGUCUCCCCUCAGACUGGGGCACCCUGAGGACUGGGUUGUGUCUCCCCUUAGACUGGGGCACCCUGAGGACUGGGUUGUGUCUCCCCUUAGACUGGGGCACCCUGAGGACGGGGCUGUGUCUCCCCUCAGACUGGGGCUCCUUGAGUCAGGGCUGCGUCUCCCUCAGACUGGGGGUCCCUGAGUCAGAGCUGCGUCUCCCCUCAGACUGGGGCACCCUGAGGACUGGAUUGUGUCUCCCCUCAGACUGGGGCUCCCUGAGUCAGGGCUGUUUCCCGCCUCAGACUGGGGGUCCCUGAGUCACGGCUGUGUCUCCCCUCAGACUGGGGCUCCCUGAGUCAGAGCUGCAUCUCCCCUCAGACUGGGGGUCCCUGAGUCACGGCUGUGUCUCCCCUCAGACUGGGGGUCCCUGAGUCAGGGCUGUCUCCCCCCUCAGACUGGGGAUCCCUGAGUACAGGGCUGUGUCUCCCUCAGACUGGGGCUCCCUGAGGAUGGGGCUGUGUCUUCCUCAGACUGGGGCACCCUGAGGAUGGGACUGUGUCUCCCCUCAGACUGGGGCUCCCUGAGUCAGGGCUGUCUCCCCCCUCAGACUGGGGCUCCCUGAGUCAGGGCUGUCUCCCCCCUCAGACUGGGGCUCCCUGAGUCAGAGCUGCGUCUUCCCUCAGACUGGGGCACCCUGAGGACCGGAUUGUGUCUCCCCUCAGACUGGGGCUCCCUGAGUCAGGGCUGUCUCCCGCCUCAGACUGGGGCUCCCUGAGUACAGGGCUGUGUCUCCCUCAGACUGGGGCUCCCUGAGGAUGGGACUGCGUCUCUCCUCGGACUGGGGUUCCCUGUGGACAGGGCUGUGUCUCCCUCAGACUGAAUUCCAUGAAGACAGGCACUGUGUCAAUCCCAUCAAACUAGGUCAGAACUAGAUCUCCUUUAGCAUCUAAAACAGGCAACUCAUCCACCAUCCCCAACAUCAUCUGGGGGUUUUCAGACUGGGUGGGGUGGGGCAUCUACUUCCCACCAGGCCACCCUCCUGAGGAAGGACAAUCAUGCUUACUGGCAGGGGCUUCCUCAGUGAGCAGCCUGUUCCCAGUUCACCCACUCACCCCUCUGGGUGGUCUCUCCCACAGUCUAGCCCCAGUCUCUCACGUUAAAUCACCAUGGGUAGCUGGGCAGGCGAGACCCACAGGAUGUGUGGGCAGGGCCUGCCUGGACCUGGUGGGGGGUGUAUAGCUGAGAGCACAGGCAUUUUGUAGCAUGAUCUCAUGCCCACUGCCCUCAGCUAGGGGCUCUUCAGGACCAUUUGAGCAUGGGGAGUGGGCAGACAAGCCUGGGCAGCUAUACCAGUGGCCUGAGGAAGCCAAGCUUGGCAGGUUCCUGCUUCCAUGAGUCCAAAUCAGCACAGGAAGUGGGUCCCAACACCAUUAGCUUUCCCUUAUCCUAUGCUGUAGCCACCUGGAUUAGCAGAGGGAGAGGCCUCCUACCCCAGUGGGUCCCUGUGAGGGGGCAGCCCGACCUUACAGUGUAUACAUUUGGUAGUGAAGGAAGCAGGAAACAGCUGGACAGGCCUGGGAAUCCCUCCCCACUCCCUAGUCACCUUUCAAUACGAGGAGCUGGGCUUUCCCAGCCCUCUAUCCCCUACUCCUCCCUGCCUCCUCUUGACCUCCUGUGCCUUUUUCAGGGAAAUAAAACACAGAGCCAUGUGGAGAUUGGGGCUGGACUUCUGUGCUCUCCUUUUUCCGUUGGCAACCCCAUCUCCAGGCUGGCAGGAUCAGAGUCGGUGCCUCCCACCUAACACUGACAAUUGGGCAUUGCCAUGGCUGAGGGCACCCUAAGAUAUCAACCCCAUUACACAGAUGGGCAGACUGAAGUCUGAGGCUGUCACAGAGUCAGGACAGAUCAUGUCUUGGAGGUGAUGCAGCCAGGCUUGUGGUCAAUACCCACUCUGCCUGAGUCAGGGUAGCUCCUCUCUCGGCCAGACUGUGAGCUCCCUGAGCUCAGGGACUGGUCCCCAGCUUCCUGAAAGGGGUUUGCUGGGUAGGAUUGAAUGAGGGCUUGCUAUGUACUGACCUGUGCUGGUCCUGGGGUGGGGUUCUGUGUCCCCAUCAGCCUAGCCAGUUUAGCUGCAGGGCCUCCUCACCUCUGGACCCUUCCUUGACCACAGGUCUCCCUAGUUAGUUCCUGGAACCCAGACUUUCGGUGCCUGGGGAGGGAGGGUCUAGGGUGGCAUGGGCAGCUGUGCAUCCAGGCCAGAAUGGGCCACCUGGAGAAGUCCCCAGGGCCUGGUGCAGGAGCCCGCUCCCCCAGCUGGCAGAAGGACAGGUGGAAGCCCACCUGCUGUCCCCCGCUUCUGGGUCACAGUCAGUUGGCUGAGCUAGGCCCAGCUUGGGCAGGUUCUCCCACAUCCAGUGCCCCCUCCCCCUCACCCCACCCUGGCCUGAUCCCUUUUUCAAGUACAGUCUUUGCUCCAGCCAGAUGUCUGAGCACAGUCUUGUUCCCAAGAAACCCAUGCCCUGCCCCACAAUCUCUACUCAUCCUGCCCUCUCUCCCUCCUGUCCCCAUAGGAGCCAUCUCCCCAGGGCCACUGGCUCACCACACUUCCUGCAGAGCUUUGACCCUCUAGGAGAGCAAGCCCCUCCCCAGGCCAGGGAAGGGUCUCAGCAGAGGCAGCAGGGAAGGGGCAAGGAUCCAGCUUCCCCAGUAACCUAGCAUGCCUCUGUCUUCCAGCAAGUCACCAAACCACUCUCCUAUCUGUCCCUAUUGUCAGCCUAUCCCAUCCCUCAAGGCAGCAAGUUCUUAGGUUGGCUUCCCACUGUGUGGGCAAACACGCGGCCUCACUCUUACUGGAAGCCAAGACUUGCUCCAACUGGGCUCGGCAGGAGAGAGUUCUCAAGAAGCCCAACCCUCAAAUACAUACUCUGUAACCUAGAUGGAGGCUCUCACAGAACCUGCCAGAGGCAAUCACUAACCCUGCUUUACACACCUAAAGGUAGCUUUUUAAACUUUAAAAAAUUUGUGAUAAAAUACGCAGAACAUUUACCAUUUUAACCACAUUUAAGUGUACAUUUCAGUGGCAUUAAAUACAUUCACAUUACAUACGUUCACAUUACAUAUGUUCACAUUGUUGUGCAACCAUCAACACCAUCCAUCUCCAGAAUUCUUUUCAUUUUACAAAACAGAAACUCUGCUCAUUGAACACUAACUCCCCAUCUCUCCAGCCCCUGGCAACCACCAUUCUACUUUCUGUCUCUAUGAAUCUAACUACCUUAGUUACCUCAUUAAAGUGGAAUUAUACAAUAUUUGUCCUUUUGUGAUUUGCUGAUUUCACUUAGCACAAUGUCCUUAAAGUUCAUCCCUGUUACAGCAUGUGUCACAAUUUUCUUCCUUUUUAAGGCUUAAUAAUAUUCCAUUGUAUGUAUGUACCACAUUUUCUUUCUCCAUUUGGGUAGCUUUUUUUAUUUAUUAACUACUUUUUUUUUUUUUUUUUUGAGACGGAGUCUCGCUCUGUCACCCGGGCUGGAGCACAGUGGCUUGAUCCCGGCUUACUGCAACCUCCGCUACCCAGGUUCAAGCGAUUCUCCUGCCUCAGUCUCCAGAGUUAACUACUUUUUAAAAAAACCAAAGUAAUAUAUUCUCGUGGCAAAAAGUCUGAACAGUUCAGAAACACAUAAAGUGAAAAGUGGACUUUUCCAUCCCUUCUCACUCUGGUCAUGGAAAGCCCUUUCUGGUGACUCUGAAAUUUUAGAGGCAGAAGGGCUAACUGGUUUUUAUCCAUUUUUUACACAUAUAGUGACAUACUCCUCAUCAGUACUUCUCAAACACGAGUAUGCAUCAGAAUCAUACAGAGAACAUGUUAAAACCACAGACUGCUGGGCUCCAGCCCUAGUGUUUCUGAUCCCGUAGUUCUACGGUGGCCCAAGAUUCCAGGUUUCUUUUUUGUUUGUUUUUUCAGACAGGGUCUCUCUCUGUCACCUGGGCUGGAGUGCAGUGGCACCAUCUUGGCUCCCUGAAACCUCCACCUCUCAGGCUCAAGCGAUCCUCCUGCCUCAGCAUCCCUAGUAGCUGGGACUACAGGCUAAUUUUUUGUAGAGAGGUUUUGCCAUGCUGCCCAGGCUGGUCUUGAACUCCUGGGCUCAAGCAAUCCUUCUGCCUUGGCCUCCCAAAGUGCUGGGAUUACAGGCAUGAGCCACUGCAACUGGCUGAAGAUUCUGGAUUUCUAAUAGGCUCCAUGCCCAUGCUGGCAGAGGGCACACCCUUCAUGGAGUAGCACCACCCAAGGAAUGUCUUGCCACUUGCUUUUCUACUUAGUGAAUAUCAACACACAACCUCAACCUCACUCUUUUCAACCACUGCAUACUAUUGGUGUUUGGAGGCAUCAUAACAUAUCCAAUCCGUGCCCUAUUAAUGGACUUAAUGUUGCUUCCAGUUUUUCAGGUUUGGAAGCAAAACUGCAAUGAACACACUUGUAUGUAUACUUUGAACACUUGUGACAUUUAUAACAGUGCAUCUGAUAAAUUCCUAGAUAUGGAACCCUCGAGUCCAUGGUUUGUGAAUUAAUUCUUCUCAUGUAUACUGCCAAUCCCCUUCACAGGUGCAACUGUCCUCCCCCCCAGCUCUGAGGAUGUCUGUGUCCACACAGUGAGGGGUUGCCCAUUUUAGUUGUUGUCAAUCAAAUUGGCGAAAAGAGAAUCUUCUCAUGUCUUCAUUUUGAUUUCUUCUAUUUUGACUGAGGGUGAGCAUUUUCACCUGCUUGUUAACCAUUAGUAUCCCCUUACCGGUUUAUGUGCUUUGCCCAUUUUUCUAUUCGUUUUUAUUUUCCUUAUUGACUUGUAAAAACUCAUCGGUCAUCUAUGUUAAAAAUAUUUUUUCCAGACGGUUGUCUUUAGAAUUCAGGAUAUUACAUUAAAAACACAUUUUUUUUUCAGAGAUGGAGUCUCACUGUGGUGCCCAGGCUGGCCUCAAAUUCCUGGGCUCAAGUUAUCCUCCCACCUCAGCCUCCCAAGGAGCUGGGACUACAGGCAUGUAACACAACACCCUACGUCAUAUUUUAAUACAGCCAAUUUUAAAAAAUUCUUUCCCUUUGUGACUCCUAGGUUUUGUGUCAAACUUUCCCCAAUCCAAGAACAUACACUUUUAGACUUUCAGAUGUUUUCUUCUAGUAAUUUUAUGGUUUCCUUUUUACAUUUAAAUCUUCACUCCAUCGGGAUUUAUUUCAGAAUAAGAGAUGAAGUGGGGAGCUGGAUUUCUUUUUUUUCCCCCUUAACAGCUAACCAGUUGUCCAAUUUGAUUGAAUAAUUCAUCUUUUCUCCUCUGAUCUAAAAUGUCAUUUUAUCAUAUAUUUAAUUUCCAUUUGUUCACGGGUGUGUGUCUGGCCUCUACUCUGCUCCUUUGAUCUGCCUGUCUGUUCUUGUGCCAGUACCCAACUAUUUUAUUAUUGGAGCUUUCUACAACAUUUUAGUAGCACUAGUCGUCCCUUAUAAUACUUCUUUUUCAGGAUUUUCCAAGCUCUUUUUGCAUGUUUAUUUCUCCAGAUGAACUUUAAUAUAAUUUGUCAAGUUCAAAAGAUCUCGUUGUUUUUCACAUCUUCCAACAGAUGUGAUUUUCGGACAUCUCAGCCCACAGCCAAACAGAAACAAGUUGAGAAUAGGGUGGGUUUGGUGGUCUGCCCUGGAGGCAGGCAAAGUGAUGGUAACAGAAGUGAUAGUUUAUACGGAGAGAGUUGAUGAAGUGAUAAAGUACUAUAAAAGUAGACACAAGAACUACGAAAAUGUAGCCUUCAUGGAAUGAGCCGUUGGUGUGGGGCCAAAAAAGGCCUUGGAUUUUCACUGUAUUACAACCAGGAUACUGAUGGACCCUUGUAACCACAACCCUGAGUCAUGAAGACUCACAUGUUCUGUAACCUCUGAUUAAAAGCCCGGAAAGCGUGUAAUAUCCACUAGUGAUUCCUAUCCAAAAUAUCUCUUUUUAAGGUUUCAGAUAUUAAUGUCUGGAAAACUAGUAUGAAAUGGUUCAUUCUUGGAUGGUGACAUAAACAUGACAUGUUACUGGCCUCUUUACAGUUUUCUCAAAGCCCACCUUCAAAUUCCAAGGAGCUGCCAGCUCCGGGAUUUGAAUUCACUCUAUCCAUGGAAACAAAGCUGAGGGAAAUGUCCCCAGACUUUCAGCCAGUUCAAACACAAUAAUAAAAAAAGGUUUACCUCAUACAUGCCUCCAACAUAUGAGGCAUGUUAUAGGCAGAUUAUAUUUUAAUCCUCAACAGCCCCGCUGGGUGAAUGCUGUACUCCCAUUACACAGAAAACUGAGGCUCAGAGGGGUCAAACAACUGGGGCCAGUUUAAGUUAGUACGUGACAAAGAGCUCUCAGCUACCUCCACCUGCACAUUCCACAGACCAGUCCCCUUCAGUUCACUCCCACAGGGAGGUUCAAAACACCACCGACCCUAUUCAGACAUCCCUUUGCAAGGCCCUGUCACCUGUCUUGCCCAAUGCCCACCUAGCCAGGAGAGCCAGGAUGCACAGUGAGGAAGGUGGAAUGAGGUGCCAACGUAGCCCAUCCAGGGAAGGAAGACAGCCCCCCCCCCCCGGCCACCCACUUGCCAGUGGCCCAGGUGGCAGGCCAGCCACUUGCCAAUCCCCUUCCUGAUCAGGGAUUCAGGAAGUGAAGAGAGUGCCCCUGGAAGUCAGGAGACACCUCCAAGAUGAAGGCCCUGCCUGCCAUAGCCUGACACAGCCUCCCUGUACUCCCUGGGUUGUCCCAGGACGCAGACUCUGUGCUUACCAUACCACACCUUUGUCAGUGGUGUGGGCAGGGCCCAGCAGAGUCCUGGACACCCCAGGGAGUAGGAGCUGUGCAGGUAACAUAGGAGGGGGUGAAAGGGAAAUGAACUCCCUUGGGAGUUCCCCAUCCCAGAGGAAAUAAAAGUCAAAGCACUCCUUUGUUUUUUCUUCCCAAGCCCUUAUAAGGGGCUUUAUGGGGCUUGCCUAGGUUUGAGGUGCAGCAGAGGCAGGCGGGUGAGGGCCUCCAGGCUGAGAGAUCCUGGGGCAAAAGUGAAACUAUAUGGUCAUGAACACGGGCAUGUUCUGAACUCUGUGAAACCCUAGCCCAGGACCUGGCUGACUGUACAAUCCGUCACCCGGCACACCGUAACAGAAGACCCUACUACGCGCAGAGGACAGUACUAUUGGGGUGGCAACUGAAAAGGGUCCUGGCUGGAGGCGGGGUUUGCUGGAGGGGUAACAGAGCGUGCGCGGAGUGGAGAGGGUACGGAGGCUCACCGCCCAGCAUCCCCAACCCCGGCGCUCAGAAGAGCAGCGCGCUCCGGAGCUCGGCGCGCGCGAUCAAAGCCGGCGCCGCACGCGCACGCGCGCCCGCAGCCGCUCCCCCGCCCGCGCCGCUCCGGCUCCCGCGCGCGCGCACUUGAGGCCUCCCUUGUGCGUCUCCUCCAUUCGCUACGUGCAGAAUGGUCCGUCGGCAGCAGCUGCAGCGCUGGGUGGGAGGGGGAGGAGGAGGGGAGGGGGAGGCGGCGCCCAGGUCUCGGGGAGGGGCCGCGGCGGCCCUGGAGAUAGAGGGGUGGGGGCGAAGGGGUGGGCCCCCGCAGCGGGGAGGACAGAGGGAGAGUCCGGGUGGGCUCGAUGCUCAGCCUUCCCCCUCCCCCGCUCCCGCUUCUUUCUGCGAGGCCAUUACGGCCAUCUCCCGGCCUGAGCCUCCUGGAACCAAGCCGACCAAGAGGGGUUUCCUCCGUGUUGUCUCGUCCCCAAAACCCAGAAUCCAGACCCAAGAAAGAACCACUCCUGCUGACCCCUCCUCCCGCUACCCGUCCCAACCGCAUUCCCAAGCUUUCGUGGAGGUGACCCAACAGCAAGCACUUCCCCACUCCGCCUUUCAUGGGGUGGGGUCCCUAAGAGGUACUGCAGACUAACUCCUCUUUUCAUCUCUUACCCCACCUGGAGGAAGAGGCAUGGCCAGGAUGGACACCAGAGCACAUUUCCCAGCAUUUCCAAGGGGAAAGGGCAGCAUCUCAGCAUGCAGACUCCAACAUGGCCACAGAAAGGUCGAGUGGCGCAGAGGAGCAGGCUGCUGCCCAGGCCCCUAGGGCCACUUCCAAAGGAGUGUGACCACGACUAGGUUGCUGUGGACUCACUCGCAUUACAGGGCUGCGCCCUAUACACCUGUUUGUAAAGGGUCCUCCUAGAAUGUAAUGGUGAGGGACCACCAAGCGGUGGACCAAGAAUUCCAAACAGACCAGCUCCCUGCCUUGCCAGGAAACCAGAUGUGGCCCAGAUGUCCAUAGCAGUUCCUCCCACAGGGUGGGACACCAGCUAUUCUGUGCAACCCCUCCCAACCCUUCUUCCAGGGUCAGGGAGGAAAGCUGGCAACCUCCGUUGUCCCUUCCCAUUUGGGUUGCUAGAAGGGAGCAACUCACUCAUCCUCCUCUUCCUGCCAAGAGCCACCUGGGCUUACCUCUCCAGCAGCCACCUAGGUUCAACCUGUGGUCUAACCUCAAGCCCUCUGCUGACAGGUUAAGUCAAGAUCGCCGGGAAGGAAGGCGUCCAGUUUCAUUACACACACAGACGUACACACACACCCGACACCGACCCACGCGCCUGGGCUCUGCACAGUGGCUAGACCCCAAAAAGCCGAUUCUCCUGUUCCCUCCGUGGUGGCCUCAGUCUUUUGGCGGCGCCCUCUGCUGGCCACUAGGAAGUGCAGGAAAAAACAGUCUGCCCAUAGACGCUUGGUGGAUCUGGGAAAGGGGACAAGAGGCAGAGAAACAAGUGAAAAGUGGGAGCUGAGAGCAGCGCUGGGCUGGCCACAAACAAGCGAGGCAUGGUGACGCCUUCCUGGAGAGGAUGGCCCAAGCCCAGGUCCCUGGCAUGGUGGGGCAGGGGCCUGAGUCACAGCCUGGCGUGACCCUGCCCAGUCCCCAGGAAUGGCCAGCUCGUCCAGAGGUGAGACCCAGGUCAACAAUCCAUCAGUCUGCCUCCUGCCACCAGGUAUCCUCCCCAUCACGUCCUACACGUGGGGUGGGCCAGGACAGUGCUGGGCAGAGCUAGUGUUGGGCCUGUGCCUGGGGGCCACCAAGGGGGCCCGGAGAAAAGAAUGGAGGGGUUUUCACUUCCUGAGCAGCAGGAGGAGCCAGCUGGGGUUAAAGACAGGAGGGACUGGUUGGGCCUACAGGCAUUUGGAGUCUCUCCCUGCCUGCUGGGUGAGGGAGGCAGCAGGUGCCAAGAACUGCUAGCUUCUAGGACCUGACCCUCAAGUUGCUUCUCCUGCUGAGGGGCUUCUAGGGUCACCCUCAGGGCCUUGACAUCUGCACACAUCUGCACAGGCCCUUCACCAGGGACUUAACCUCCAAAGGCAGCUCCUGCUCCCAGCCUUCACAGGCCCCCCUAGGGCCCAAGUCCCCAGACCCAACCUCAGUCUGCAAGCUGGCCAAGUCAGAGGUCCUGGCUGCCUGGACCACUCCCAAGCAGUAAAUGGCACUGUGGGCUUCCUCCAUCCUGUCUUCCCCGCCCCACUUCAUUGAUUCACUGACUUCCAACUUACUGGUCAGGCCCCCUUCCAGACCCUGCCUGGAUGAAGAGGACUCCCAGAAGCAGUGAUUGAAGGCCUAGGAGGAUACAGAGAGCCAGGUGCUUUAAUUGGAGGUAAUUAGUUAAUUUACUCUGAAAGCAAUGGGGCAGGGCGGGGACAGGGGGAGGAGAGGGGAGGGGAGGAGGUAGGGGGCUGUGACCUAACUGGGCUCAAACUCUCAAACUCUGGUCAGCCUCCUUCUGGACCACAGCAAACCUGUGUGUACCCACCCACUUAGGAGACCCUCUCCUGGGCCCCAGGUCAGAGCAAGACCCAAAGUGGACUAGGGUGGCUCUGCAGAAAAAGCAGGUGCCCUGGGGUGGUGGGAACAGGCCUUUUGAGGUUAGGGAGGUGUGGACUGGCAUGAGGGAAUUGGAGAGGUGCAAGGAGCUCUGGGAUGGGAACUGGUCCCUCUCCUGUCACGUAUAAUUCCAUCCCUCCCAAGGUCAUUGCUGUCACCCAAGUUAGGGGCCCAGCCCCCUCCUUUGGUCAGUGAAGUCCCAGGGCAGCCCAUUUUAAAUACAACGGGGCCUGAAGGCUAACUUCUGGCCUUCCUGCUUCGGGAAAUCAUUCCAAUAACCGGGAAAAAAGGGGGCCCGAGGACAGAGCCCCUGCCGGGCCCCAGGGGGAGUGUCGUCGGCUCCUUUGCGUCGCCGGCCGGCGGCGUGGCGGGGACUCUGGCCGGCAGCCUCCCGCGCCGUCCGGAGCAGCUGACCCGCUGGCGGUGGGCCAGGUCGCGGCGGGGCCUGGAGGCAGCAACGUGCGGCGCGGCAUGUCGCGGGCGCCGCGGCAGGGAAAUGUGGGGGCGGGCCGGCGCGCCCCCUCCCCCCCGCCUACGCUGGCCCAUUCAUAAAACCUGCAGGCGCUGCCCGGCCUGGCAGCCUUGGUCUCCUAAUUGCAAACUCAUUAAGGAGUUUGCAUCUCAUUUGCAUGGAAAUCAUUUCCUGGCCCUAAACAGAGAAACUUCCCGCCCCUCCACCAGCCCCUCUCUGCCCUGCUUUACCCAUGCACAGUCUGGGAGAGGAGAGGGGGCAUAUCUCUGACCUGCGCCCCUUCCCUGGCCUCACCACCACCCUCCCACUUUAGGAGUUGGGGAAGGGAUUGGCAGAACACCCACCCAGCCAGGAGCCCUGCCUGUGCCCCAGGUGAGCCGGCCCUGCCCUAGUGGGUCCAACUGAGGGGAGGUGCCUGCCAAGUCAUUUGCCCCCCGGCCUGGCCGUGCCCAGGGAAGGGAGGAGGCGGUCGGCAGUUGGCCCCAGCAGCUGGUUGUACCUGGCAGGAGGUGGGUGAGGCUUUUCGUGCCCAGCCUCACGUACGUGCCCUGCCAUAGGCCGUGCCCCCACCCCCACACCCCUCACCCCACAGAACAAGCGCCUAGUGACUGCAGAAACAGACACCCAGUCAUGGCACACAAAGGCACCCACACCAGGCCAGCCAUCAUGGCUGCCCCCCUGGCAGCCACCCUGGAGGGCAGACAGAUGCCUUCACAAGCCAUUUUGUCUUUCUCCAGCUUGGUGCCAGGACUGGGGGUGGGGGAAAGGGUUUCUCCUGAGACUUCUCUGAGUAAGGGGGCCCACAGAGGGGUUUCCUUAUGUACCCCAGCUGUGGCCUCUUGCCCCCUCUCUCCUGUAACCCAUGUUUACAGAGGCCUCCAAGUGCUCUACCCUGCAUGGGGACCUGCCCAGGCGAGGGGGUCACAGGAGCCUCCAACCCAGGAGGGGAAGUGAGAGAUAAAGCCCCUAAGGAAGGGACACCUAAGUGCCUCCCCAACCAGGGUCUGUCCUUCGUGUCCCAAGUGUGUGUAGUGGAGGGAGUGCUCCCCAGUUUCCUGGGGGUUGAGGUGGGGCGGUAUUCUAAACCUUUGGAAAUGGAAUAGAACUACCUAAAGUAUAUGAAAUUAGAUACUACUUGGGACACUAUGUCUUGGUUCUGUAUGUCCUGGGACAGUGUAAAAAGUGAUCACAAAAUUUUCAACAUCACAGUCUAAAAUAAAAACCUGCCUCUUGUCUGCCUCCUCAGACAUAAACCUGCUUACGCUUCCCAUCUGCCCACACUCCCACCUGCUGUAUCUGAAGUUUCUCCCUUCCUUUGCUAGGGCAUAAAGGGGUGGGCAAGGAUGUUCUGGAACACUGACCACACAUCCGUCCUGAGUAUGGCUGGACUGACCCUACCCUCCCAGCUCCUGGAGCAGUUGGGUUCCAAGUGCCAUAUGUGUGCGUGGUUCAGGGGUACUGGAAGAAAGUUUUAGAAUGCCUAUUUAUUUUUCAUCGAAUCCUUUUUUCAUUUAGUGUGAGUGUGUUUUACAAGGUAAACUAUAUAAAAACAUACUCAUCUGACGGGUGCGUACUCAACAAUCUUUUUUAUUGCUAAGGGCACAUGAUCAAAAAAACUUCGGAGGUCACUGGCCUAGACUUCAGGUGGGGCAGCUGUGGGCAGGGGAUGGCUUGUCUUGUCCAUCUAAGUAUCCAGCCUGACACAUGACUAGUUCAGAGCCUGGCAGGGAGCAGAGGUCAGGGACACAGUAUUGAAUGAAUGAAGUCCACCCCUAGAACUGACAGAUGAGGAAACUGAAAUAAUUCUGGGGCGGGGAGAUUGCUCAGAGGAGGACAUGGGCAGGUUGAGAGAGUCUCCCCUCAUUGCUGCUAUGUCUGCAGCCUGCCCGUGUCCAACACCCAGCACCCACACAAACCUUACUUCUACCCACCCCAGGGAGCACAGCUCCCUCCUCUGCCUACCAGCAGAGUGGCCACCUGUCUUGAGCUUCUUACUGGAUCCUGAUUAGCAGAGCCAGACAGGGUUGUCACCUGCCAUAUCCCUCUACGUGGCAGAAAGUCUGUUGCCAGCUUUGUAUCCUAGAACUCUCUGGAAGUCAAUCUGGUGUAGGAGAAAGAAUUUAGGCUCCAGACAGGCGUCAGUCCUCAUCCAGCUUGGUGACCUUGGGCACAACACAUAACUGGUAUAAGCCUCAGUUUCCCAAUCUGUAUCUUGGGACCAAUAUUUGUACUUACUGUACAGAGUUGUUGUGAAUGUUGAGUAGCCCACUGUGUGUGUAGGCUCUGGCAUAUACUAGGUGUUCAGUAAGAUUCCUGUCCCUCUGUGUGCAGCAGGUGCCCCAUGAAGAAUCUGUUGAAUUGUGAUUUGACAUCAGCAUGGGAAGGAGAAUUCCGAAGGCAGACAAAUGAGCCUUUGCUCCCUCCUCUGCCUGCUGGCACGGUGCCCACCAGUCUGAGUUCUGUCCUGCACCUUCCUGCAGAAAUGAAGCAGCCACUCUGGCAGCCUUGGGUCCCCUCCAGGCUCAUCCACUCUGUGGUGGGGUGUCCUCCUCCUUUUCUCCCUUACAGCUCCUUUCCCUUUUUCUGUGCUGCCUUCACUUCAAGCAUGAGCUGAGGGUGACUCCUGGUGGCCAUUCAUAUAACUGCAGAAUCCUGACCAUUGUCACCGCCACCUGGAAGUGCAUGAAGUCGAGUGUGCAAGGAAGCCAUUCUUCACACUUUCCCUACACCUCCCAACUCCCUGUCAGGGCCCUGGGGAGCCUCAGGGGUGGCCACUCCCCGGGGACUCCACCCUCCGAAGUUCCACCUCUAAGGGCUUCACUUGCCUGAUGGGUGGGGACGAUCAAGGAGGCCUCUGCCCAGAUCCUGCAGCACCAGGCCUGCCCCAGGCAAAAAGCAGGACAGUGGCUACUCUUCCCUCAAGUGCCACUGAACACUUUGCAGGCAUCAUUUUGUCCAAUUCUUAUCACUGGAGCCCAUUAUCACAAAGAAGAAACCAAGGUUAAGCAACUUGCCAAGGGUCACACAGCUCCUCAGUGCCCAAAUGGUGAAAUGAAUACAGGUGACACUCAGUGGGACACCAGACCAGCCCCUGGGGGACAGAAGAGGCCUAUAGGAAGGAGCCUGCCAUGGGGUUAGAAGCCUCAGAUUCUGACCCGACCUUGCCCCAACUAGUGGGGUGGCCUCCAUCAAGGGCCUCUGCUCACUGAGCCUCAGCCUCCUCGAUGGCAUCAUGGGGCGGAGGACAGAGCAGGAUUCUCAGAUUGGCUGUACAUGGGAAUCACUGGGAGGAUUUUUCAAAUACCCAUGUUUGCCCAGCCCUGACUAAGGAAAUCAAAAUUGGUAGGGGUUGGCUAAGACAAAGGUAAUUUUAAGAAAAUAUUUCUAGGUGAUUCUAUAGGCAGCCAGGGUUGAGAAUGGGUCCUCUAGGAGUUCCCCAUCUUCAGACUUCCCAGCCCUCUAGAGGUCAGCUCCCCAGGGCUCCCCUCUGUCCUAAGGGCUCUCCAGAUAAACUUUUUUUUUUUUUUGAGACGGAGUCUCGCUCUGUUGCCCAGGCUGGAGUGCAGUAGCGCAAUCUCAGCUCACUGCAAGCUCCGCCUCCCGGGUUCACGCCAUUCUCCUCCCUCAGCCUCCUGAGUAGCUGAGACUACAGGUGCCUGCCACCACACGUGGCUAAUUUUUUUUGUUUUUUUUUAGUAGAGGCGGGGUCUCACCGUGUUAGCCAGGAUGGUCUCAAUCUCUUGACCUCAUGAUCCGCCUGCCUCAGCCUUCCAAAGUGCUGGGAUUACAGGCGUGAGCCACCGCACCCGGCCCAGAGAAACUAUCUUAGCUUGUCUACCCAGACCCACAAGAAGCUGCCUCCCAACCACCCAAGGGGACACAGGCCCAUCAACCCUUUCCAGAGGGGGCACAGUAGGCUUGAGACUCUUGAGUCUCUGACCCCCAGCCUGGCCUCUGGGGUGGGGGGAGAGAAAGUCAUAGGGAGCUUAACCUCAACAGGAUGAAGGCGCCAUAAUUAGGGUCAGGCGGUUGGCUCAGCCUGCGGAAAUCCCCAGCUUAGUAGGGAUGGGGAGUGGCACUGCAGCCUGCGGGAGGGUUCAGGGCAGAAGUGAGGGGGCAGGGGGAGCCCAGGCACAUGGAAACCCAGGACCUAGGCCCCAAUUGCAUCCUGAGAGGGCCCACUGGGGGCUUCUCAACACAGUUCACUCCCUCCCUGGGGUUGCUGAACCCCAGGGAGGGAGGGAAAGGCUGACCAGCCCCCCAACCCCAGAGACCCUACUGCUCCCUCAGGCUGGGGUGCAUCAGGAUCAUCCCCCUACCCCAGCCUUUGUCAGGAGGAGGAGGGCACCGGUGGGAAAAGGCUACGUGAGUGUUCCCAGGGCGACCCAGGCUUUUCUCCUGACUGUAAUCCUCAGGCCUUGAGAGAGGGAUCGCUUUCCACUGUGGAAUGUAACAAAGGGGACAAAAUGGGGCAGGGGAGGGGGGCAGAAGCCAGGGAGGGAAGCUUGCAGGGUGGUACUUUUAGCCCCCAAAAGGCCCUCCAGGAGGCAGCUGCACAGAGAGAACCCCCCUGCCCCCAUGACUCCCUGAGCCUGUCAUCCAGCUCACCCCAGGGCACAGGGUCUCAUCCUGGGUUGUCCAGGUGUCCCCCCGCAGACUCCUGCCAUGAAUCCCAGUGCAGGGGGAUUUGGAUGAUCACCUUUGCCAGCCACUCAUUUUGCAGGGGAGGAAAUAUUCCAAGAGAUGAAAACUAGCCAAGACCACGCAGCACCAGAACCACUCCCAGAAGCCCCGGCUUCCCCAGAGACUGCUUCAGUGAGCCGGCAAAAACUGAAGCCUGCAGCCUCAGGAGUUCCCACACACACCUAGGCCAGAAUCCCUCUGCCCCGCAGCAGGACACCCCUCCCUCUUGCCCUCCAGGGUCAUGGGCUAGACAUGGCAAGGUAAGCAGAAGGCAGAUGCAUACUAGUCCACACAAGCUUGUGACGGCUGGGACUAGGGGCCAACCUAGUGGCUCCCACGUUGAGAAUCAACGCCAAUUCCAGGAAGCCUUCCCGGCUAACCCCCAAAAAGCUGGCAAUACUUCCCUCCCACAACACAGCCUUGGCUCUCGAAGGCUGUCCUCUCCCCCAGCCUCACUCUGACUCAUCAUGUAGGUCCCGCAUGGGCCUCAGUUCUCCUGGCCAUGGGCUCUCCCCAUACCUUAACCUGGGAACCGUUGUGGGCAGGACCAUGUGGGACAAAAAGGUCCUGUGCCCAACCCAGCACCAAUCACAGGGAGGCCUGGGGAUAAGCAGGGGCUCUUGGAAAGGGGGCAGAACUCAGCUCAAGUCACAGAACCUGGGAAGGACCUUCAGUGGAAAGCCGCUUCAAAUGUCAUCUGGGAUGAGCAUGGUGGCUCACACCUGUCGUCUCAACACUUUGGUGAAACUGAGGCUGGAGGAUUGCUCAAGGCCAGGAGUCGAAGACCAGCCUGGGCAACAUAGCAAAACCUUGUCUCUCUGUGUAUUUUUUUAAUAUUAAAAAAAAAAAAUUUAAGGUCAUCUGGUCCAGUCCCUCGUGCCUCCCAGUUGGGAGGCACUGAACUUCUCAACACUGCAGAAACAGGCAUCUCUUCAUAUAUUUAGUCAUUCAGUCAUCCAUCCAAUGAACCUUGCCCAACUAUCUUCUACAUCUCCGCAGCCCAGGCAACCCAAUCCAUUCUCAAGGCACAGACUAAAUCCUUACCAAAUAGAGUCAAGGGUCCAUCCAUUUCCUCUCCUGGGCCUAACAUGGUGCUAAGUGGAAGUAAAAGGUGCUGAUCAGCAACGGCCACCCACUUUUAUGUUGCACGGUGGCAUUCUCACCUGGCUUGCACAUCACCAGGUGAUGUUCAUUUCAGACUCAGCCACCAUUCCAGACAGGUUGUCCCUCACUGGCAGAUGGGAAGCUGAGGCUGAGCAGGUGAAAUGGUCUUGCAGCUGGAAGAAAGGUAGGGCCAGGACUUGGCCCAGGCAGCUAAGCUCCCAGCCCCAGAUUCAUUUUACACACCCACUCCCAGCCCUCCACCAGCUUGGGUUUCAUGUGGAAACAGGAUUUCCCCCGGGGGAAUGAAAAUUUGAUUUUGGCCCCUAAUUAUAAAAAUAAUAACAGUGAAGAUGGAUCAGAGGCCUGCUGGUCUCAGUGCUGUGCUGAUUUUGCUAAAUGCACAGGUGUCAAGUGUUGCCCACAGAACCCCCCACCCCUCCUCGGGGCCAGGCUCACAAUGCCCUUGGCUGGCACAGCUGCACAUGCAGACACACACGCACGCACACACAUGCAUGCAUGAGUCCCUGCACGUCCCAGGAGAUGUGUCCCACCCCCUUCAUUCCCCUCUGAUAACCCAGCAGCUUCCAGCAGGACAGACACGUACCCUUCAGGCUGGCCAUGUCAGGCACGUGCCAGACCAGCUGCCAGGGCCCAGAACCUCAGGCCUGCUGGGCUCUAGAAGGUGACUUUCUCCAUAGCUGACCCUGUUCAACCUCAGGAAGGAUGAUAACUCUCCGGGAUGUGAGGGAUGUGAGACCCCACCCAAACCCUCUGCGGAGUCAGUGUCCAUGCAAGGCUUUGACUAAGACCUUGCUGAGGCCUGGAGAACUCGCGUGCUUCCUCUAAAGCCCAGACCGAAGACACCUCCUCUGGAAAGCCUACGCUGACCGGUGAUGGCUGUCCUGCCAGAUGGCCAAGCUGCAUUCUGCCAGGACAGGCUCAUACCCUUCGGGCUGGCCAUGUCGGGACGUGCCAGACCAGCUGCCAGGGCCUGGGGCCUCUUUUGAGGCUUUGACUUGGCCCCCACCCUGGUUCGUGGACCUGUUAUUUCCCCAUGCUGAGCUUCAAGGUUCUGAGGCCAGAGACAGGGUCCUAGUCAAGUUUGAGGCCUCAGAUCCAACACCAUGACCCAGCCCAGUGCUUUUGUGCGUGGAAUGAAGGAAUCCUGACCAUGCUGGGCUGAGACCUGCCAGGGCAAGGGCCCCAGGAGUAGGCACAGGGCCCUGGGGCAUAGCCAUCCUGCCCUGGCCUAUCCCUGCCCCAUGCCUGAGCCCUAUGCUAAGAGCAAGUUCCUGUUGCAAGCUGUACCCUGUCCCAGACACGUGGCAUUUACCAAAAGGGCAGAGACAGUGAGAAGGGCCUCCCCUGUGCCAUCCACUCACAAAGGGGCUGGAAAGGCCAGCAAGAAGGAGAGGAGUCAUAUUUCAAAGGGCUCUGAAGAUGUCACAAUGACGGCAAUGCUCACCACCUCAAACCGCCCAAGGAGCCAUAUCCAGACUAGACAAUAUAAGAAACAGCUGCAGAGCAGCCAGAGGACAGCAACCCUACCCCAGAAAUGGACAUGAGAGAUAAACAGACAAUUAAACAAUUGAGGCCAGGAGUUCGAGACCAGACUGGGCAACAUAGUGAGAAUCUGCCUCUUUAAAAAAAUGUUAAAAUUAGCUGGGCAAGGUAGGGUAGUGUGUGCCUAUAGUCCUAACUACUGAGGAGACUGAGGUGGGAGGAUCACUUGAGCAGAAGUUGAAGGCUACAGUGAGCUAUGAUCACACCAUAGCACUCCAGCCUGGGUGACAGAGUGAGAUCCUGUCUCAAAAAAAAAAAAAAAAAAAAGAAAAGAAAAGAUGCUGAAAAUCAUUAUACAUCACUCUACCUCUAGUAGAUGGGAAAAAUUCGAAAGCUGGAUAAAGCCCAGCAUUGGUGGGGAUGUGAGUGACAGCCCCAUCCCCACAGGGCAUGUACUAGGGGAAUUUGGCAGCUCAUUCAUAGAGUGGGUGGACAGGAAAAUGUGUGGCUGCACAUCAUAGGGUUCCAUGUAGCAGUUGGAAGCAACAAGGCUAGAUUUUAUUUUGAUUGAUUGAUUGACUGCACUCCGUCACCCAGGCUGGAGUGCAGUAGCAUAAUCAUAGCUCACUGCAGCCUCCAACUCCUGGGCUUAAGUGAUCCUCCCGCCUCAGCCUCUCAAGUAGCUGGGACUACAGUUGUACAUCACCAUGCCCAGCUCAAGGCUAGAUUUUAUACAGUGUUGACUCAAUGAGAUCUAUAACACAAUGACAUUUAUCAAAGUAAAAAGAAAAAUACGUGCUUACAAAAGAGUAAUGCCCACCUGCAGGAACCAUACAAACAAAGGCAUCAAAGACAGUAAAAUGGGGAAACAAAAGAAGGGUGUGAGGAAGGGAGGAAAGGAAUAAACACCAAACGAGAAAGGUCAGUGAUGCCAGUGAGCCUGCCAUGGCCUGAGUAACACUAGCCACACCCCCGGUCCACAAUGAGGACCACAUCUGAGGUCCACAGGGAGGAACAGUCCCCAAGGUCCUCAGCGCAGGCUCAGGUGGAGCCAGGAGCCGCUUCCAUGAGGGUCAGAUCUGGGCCUAACCUCAGAGCUUGCCCCUCCCCGCACCCUCCACAGCAGAGGAGGCUCUUGGCCAAAGUCAAGCUGCUGUACACGCAGGGUCGCACCCACCUUGGGCCCCUUUUAUGCCCUGGAAGUGGAAGAGGACAGACCUCAAACUAGAGCAGUGAUUCUGCCCUGAGCUGGGUGCCAGGAGAAAAUGGGAAGCAAGUCCUCACUCUUACAAAAGUUCCUGGGAGGUCAGGCGCAGUGGCUCAUGCCUGUAAUCCCAGCACUUUUGGGGGCAAAGGCAAGAGGAUUGCUUGAGGCCAGGAGCUCAAGACCAGCCUGGCCAGCAUAUUGAGACCCCCAUCUCUAAAAACAUUUUUUUUUUAAUUAGCUGGAUAUGGUGGCUUGCGUCUGUAGUCUCAGUUACUCAGGAGGCUGAGGCAGGAGGUUGAUUUGAGCCCAGGAGGUCCAGGCUGCAGUGAGCUAUGAUCACACCACUGCACUCCAGCCUGUGUGACAGAGUAAGACCCUGUCUCAACUUUUUAAAAAAAAAUUCCUGGAAUUCAGGUAAUUUUUUUUUUCUUUAAGGAGAGUCUUUAUCUUUAGACACACAUUUAGAAAAAUCUGUGAAAUGAUAUAAUGUUAUAAAUGUGCUUCAAAAUCUAGGUGUGGUGGCAGGGGAGAGGGGGCAAGUAGGUGGAUGAAACCAGCUUGGUGAUAAAUUGAUAGCUGCUGAGUCUGGGAAUGAGUGCGUGGGGUUCAUUAUACCUUAUUCUCUAUUUGUGCACGUGUUUCAGAGUUUCCAUAAUAAAAACUUCAAAAAGAAAAACUUCCCAGUAAGAAACUCUCCCAUGUGAGGGGACUAGCCCCUGACCUCAGGGAACCCCACCCAGUCUGCCAGGGGACACACAACCCCUGCCCUGCAUCUUCUUAGCCUGCCUCGGCUGGCCAGGGGCCGCAUUGUAGGACACAGCCAUGGGGGUCCUGACAAAUGCUCAGCCUCGGACCUGGCCUUAUCACUGAAGCCAAGGGUCAGGCACUGGAGCCACAUCUGAGCAGACCUGGUUCUGGUUCCAGCUCCACCUUGCACGUAGCCUGAGGCACCUCACCUGAACCACACCUGCCUGGAUCCAAGUCCUGGGUCAUUAUCAGUGAGAAAGUCCUCCUGCUCUUACUGUGGCUGCUCCUCUCACUGCCUCUGCCUCCACGUCUGUAUGAUGAGGACUGGAAUCACCAGGAGCCUCUGACUCAGGAGAGCACCAGGAAGCCUGCGUGGGCCAGAUGCAAGCCAGGAAGGACAGGGCUGGGGAAGAAGGAGGCAGAAGCCUCUAUCCUGCCCUCCCGGAACACAGAGGUAUCCAGAUGGGGAAACCUAGGCAAAGAGAGGGUAAGUAACUUUCCCAAAGUCACUCAGCUUGCACACAGCAGAGCUAGGAUUUGGCCCCAGCCAGCCUGCCUUGAGUUUGUGCUCUUACCCACCCCAGCGCACUCUCAGACAGCAUGGCCUGGCUUUUCCUGAGCCAGCGCUUCUGAUUCCCCCUGGGGUAUAACAGCUGAUACCCUGUUUAUACCACAACACCUGGGAUGGGAGCUUCACCCAGGGGUGGCAGUGCUAGUACCCGGGCAGCACUCCCACCUUGUCUCUUACUCGGGAAAGCAGAGCAGAAGGUAAGCGGGAAUAACGCUAUCAGAGGGAUGGGUUUUUAACUCAUUAUUUUCUCUUCUUCUUUUUUGUUGUUGUUGUUGAGAUAGGGUGUCACUCCCAUCACCCAGGCUGGAGUGCAAUGCCACAAUCUUGGCUUACUGCAACCUCCGACUCCUGGGAUCAAGUGGUUCUCCUGCCUCAGCCUUCUGAGUAGCUGGGACUACAGGUGCAUGCCACUGCACCUGGCUAAUUUUUGUAUUUUUUGUAGAGAUGGGGUUUCUCCAUGUUGCUCAGGCUGGUCUCAAACUCCUGGCCUCAAGCAAUCCGCCUGCCUCUGCCUCCCAAAGUGCUGGGAUUACAGGCAUGAGCCACCGUGCCCAGCCUCCUUCUUCAUUUAAAUCACUCAUAAAAAGUUAACCAAGAUCUGGGCCAAGUGCAGUGGCUCAAAAAUAUAUAUACAAAAAAAAUUAGCAGGGCAUCGUGGCACACUUGUGGUCCCAGCUACUCAGGAGGCUGAGGUGGGAGGAUUGCUUGAGCCAGGGAGGCAGAGGUUGCAGUGAGCCGAGAUUGUGCCACUGUACUCCAGCCACUCCAGCCUAGGCAACAGAGUGAGACCCUGUCUCAAAAAAACAAAAGAAAGUUAUCCAAGAUCGGCAACAAAGUAGUCAUGAAACACCCUUACAACCAGUCACAGCAAGGCCCUGGAGAAUCUCUUUGGUCUACUGAAUGCAAGCAGCUGGGGCAUCCGCUCCCAGCUGAAACAUGCUGAAAGAGGAGUGGAUAAGAGCACAGGUCUCAGGGUGGGUGCUGCCACUUCCAAGCUGUAAAACCCUGGACCACAGAUUAGUUCACCUCUCUGGGCCUCAGUUUUCCCAUCCGUAAAGUGGGGUGAUAAUAGCAUCUCCUUGCAAAGUUGUUAGAAGUUUGUUUUUUGUUUUUUGUUUUGCUUUUUUUUUUGUUUUCCUGCCUCAGGUUUAUUUGUACAAAUGGCAGAGGAGGACACCAGCCCCAUGCAGAUGGCAGCCCAGGGGGGUCAUACUAGUCCUUCUGUCCUUAUGUUGGCGGACAGAGAUCUCUACUCUGAAACCUUUGUAGGGGCCUGGACAGCUUUGGGAGCCUGAG